GGGUUGUGAGGUUAAGCGACUAAGCGUACACGGUGGAUGCCCUGGCAGUCAGAGGCGAUGAAGGACGUGCUAAUCUGCGAAAAGCGUCGGUAAGGUGAUAUGAACCGUUAUAACCGGCGAUGUCCGAAUGGGGAAACCCAGUGCAAUUCGUUGCACUAUCGUUAACUGAAUACAUAGGUUAACGAGGCGAACCGGGGGAACUGAAACAUCUAAGUACCCCGAGGAAAAGAAAUCAACCGAGAUUCCCCCAGUAGCGGCGAGCGAACGGGGAGCAGCCCAGAGUCUGAAUCAGCUUGUGUGUUAGUGGAACGGUCUGGAAAGUCCGACGGUACAGGGUGAUAGUCCCGUACACCAAAAUGCACAGGUUGUGAACUCGAAGAGUAGGGCGGGACACGUGGUAUCCUGUCUGAAUAUGGGGGGACCAUCCUCCAAGGCUAAAUACUCCUGACUGACCGAUAGUGAACCAGUACCGUGAGGGAAAGGCGAAAAGAACCCCGGCGAGGGGAGUGAAAAAGAACCUGAAACCGUGUACGUACAAGCAGUGGGAGCACCUUCGGGUGUGACUGCGUACCUUUUGUAUAAUGGGUCAGCGACUUAUAUUCUGUAGCAAGGUUAACCGUAUAGGGGAGCCGCAGGGAAACCGAGUCUUAACUGGGCGUUAAGUUGCAGGGUAUAGACCCGAAACCCGGUGAUCUAGCCAUGGGCAGGUUGAAGGUUGGGUAACACUAACUGGAGGACCGAACCGACUAAUGUUGAAAAAUUAGCGGAUGACUUGUGGCUGGGGGUGAAAGGCCAAUCAAACCGGGAGAUAGCUGGUUCUCCCCGAAAGCUAUUUAGGUAGCGCCUCGUGAACUCAUCUUCGGGGGUAGAGCACUGUUUCGGCUAGGGGGUCAUCCCGACUUACCAACCCGAUGCAAACUACGAAUACCGAAGAAUGUUAUCACGGGAGACACACGGCGGGUGCUAACGUCCGUCGUGAAGAGGGAAACAACCCAGACCGCCAGCUAAGGUCCCAAAGUCAUGGUUAAGUGGGAAACGAUGUGGGAAGGCACAGACAGCCAGGAUGUUGGCUUAGAAGCAGCCAUCAUUUAAAGAAAGCGUAAUAGCUCACUGGUCGAGUCGGCCUGCGCGGAAGAUGUAACGGGGCUAAACCAUGCACCGAAGCUGCGGCAGCGACACGAUGUGUUGUUGGGUAGGGGAGCGUUCUGUAAGCCUGCGAAGGUGACCUGUGAGGGUUGCUGGAGGUAUCAGAAGUGCGAAUGCUGACAUAAGUAACGAUAAAGCGGGUGAAAAGCCCGCUCGCCGGAAGACCAAGGGUUCCUGUCCAACGUUAAUCGGGGCAGGGUGAGUCGACCCCUAAGGCGAGGCCGAAAGGCGUAGUCGAUGGGAAACAGGUUAAUAUUCCUGUACUUGGUGUUACUGCGAAGGGGGGACGGAGAAGGCUAUGUUAGCCGGGCGACGGUUGUCCCGGUUUAAGCAUGUAGGCUGGUUAUCCAGGCAAAUCCGGAUAAUCAAGGCUGAGGUGUGAUGACGAGGUACUACGGUGCUGAAGUAACAAAUGCCCUGCUUCCAGGAAAAGCCUCUAAGCAUCAGGUAACAUCAAAUCGUACCCCAAACCGACACAGGUGGUCAGGUAGAGAAUACCAAGGCGCUUGAGAGAACUCGGGUGAAGGAACUAGGCAAAAUGGUGCCGUAACUUCGGGAGAAGGCACGCUGGUGUGUAGGUGAAGUCCCUGCGGAUGGAGCUGAGACCAGUCGAAGAUACCAGCUGGCUGCAACUGUUUAUUAAAAACACAGCACUGUGCAAACACGAAAGUGGACGUAUACGGUGUGACGCCUGCCCGGUGCCGGAAGGUUAAUUGAUGGGGUUAUCCGUAAGGAGAAGCUCUUGAUCGAAGCCCCGGUAAACGGCGGCCGUAACUAUAACGGUCCUAAGGUAGCGAAAUUCCUUGUCGGGUAAGUUCCGACCUGCACGAAUGGCGUAAUGAUGGCCAGGCUGUCUCCACCCGAGACUCAGUGAAAUUGAACUCGCUGUGAAGAUGCAGUGUACCCGCGGCAAGACGGAAAGACCCCGUGAACCUUUACUAUAGCUUGACACUGAACAUUGAGCCUUGAUGUGUAGGAUAGGUGGGAGGCUUUGAAGCGUGGACGCCAGUCUGCGUGGAGCCAACCUUGAAAUACCACCCUUUAAUGUUUGAUGUUCUAACGUUGGCCCCUUACCGGGGUUGCGGACAGUGUCUGGUGGGUAGUUUGACUGGGGCGGUCUCCUCCCAAAGCGUAACGGAGGAGCACGAAGGUUAGCUAAUCCUGGUCGGACAUCAGGAGGUUAGUGCAAUGGCAUAAGCUAGCUUGACUGCGAGCGUGACGGCGCGAGCAGGUGCGAAAGCAGGUCAUAGUGAUCCGGUGGUUCUGAAUGGAAGGGCCAUCGCUCAACGGAUAAAAGGUACUCCGGGGAUAACAGGCUGAUACCGCCCAAGAGUUCAUAUCGACGGCGGUGUUUGGCACCUCGAUGUCGGCUCAUCACAUCCUGGGGCUGAAGUAGGUCCCAAGGGUAUGGCUGUUCGCCAUUUAAAGUGGUACGCGAGCUGGGUUUAGAACGUCGUGAGACAGUUCGGUCCCUAUCUGCCGUGGGCGCUGGAGAAUUGAGGGGGGCUGCUCCUAGUACGAGAGGACCGGAGUGGACGCAUCACUGGUGUUCGGGUUGUCAUGCCAAUGGCACUGCCCGGUAGCUAAAUGCGGAAGAGAUAAGUGCUGAAAGCAUCUAAGCACGAAACUUGCCCCGAGAUGAGUUCUCCCUGAGACU
rnacentral:rRNA from 1 species